UUCCUUUCCCGAUAAAAAAAAUUUAAAGCAUCCAUAUUAUCUCUCUCAAUCUCUCACGUCUCUGUUCAUAUUCUCAUGGAAAAGAGAUCCAGGUCUCUCUUAGAUUGGAACAACGAAGUUGGUCAUCGAUCCCACUCUCAAUCUCUCAUGUCUGUCUCUCUCUCCCUCAAACUCUCAUCUCUCUUCCUCUCCACAAGCAGAUCUCUAUCUCUCCCAAUUGCAAAUUUGCAGCAAGGACGUUAGGCCAUGCAUUCUGCGCUCAUCUCCACAUGGAAACAGAUCGUGUCUCUCCCAAUUUGCAGCAAGGAAUUUAGGGCAUGCAUCUCCUGCGCUCAUGGAGCUUAUUACAGUAAAAUUAUUUUCCUCAUCUAGAUCAAGUUCGUAUUCUCAGUCCUUGCACUAAUUUAUUUUCAAUUUCUUUUUGUCGGUAUGGAUUCAAUUCUUUUUUCAGGUUCGUCUUCUCAGUCCUCACACUAAUUUGUUUUGAAUUUCUUUUUGCCAGUUCGGAUUCAGUUGUCUUCAUCGUGCCCUUUAAUAGUGUUGUAUAGGGAUUCAAUCUCCUUUAUCGUGUGUCUUCUUGAAGCUGAUGAUUUCCAUGGCAAAAUAAAAUCAGUGUUCUCGAUCCCUGGAAAAACAAAACAAAAAAAAUCUUUCUGUAGCGCACAUAAAAGAAACAUGUACCUUAUAUGUAGAAAAAGACACGUCCAAGUACAACUCCAAUCCUUCCAAUACGGAUGGAUCUCUAUUUUCUCACUAAUUGACCCUAUCAUUGACUCUUUGCUGUGAUUUGGCUUCCCCAAUCAUAGUUUUCUCAAUCCCUCAACCAAGAUGGGCAGGGGGUGGGGGAUAUGGAGAAGGACGGAGCUCCUGUUGUGGUUGGUGCCGUCGCAAAUGGUGGAUGUUGACCAUGCUGUCCCAUGGAGGGAAGGUAAUCUUGAAGAACCAUUAUCUCGUAAAGACAUUGACCAUCCACUCAGCACAACAGCAGGUUUCUAGGCCACGAUGGUUUAUGGAUCCAAGGAGUAGAUGCACUGACUGCAGUUUGAAGCCAAUGAAUGAAUAAUUGCAGGUCUGCUUCUACGGCUAACGUAACCCAUCAUUACUAUCUUCCAGAUUUCAUAUAUUUAUUAUCACUAGAUGAAUUCAGCAUUUGAGGAUGCGCACAUGGUGUAUAUUCUAAUGAAGGAAGCCUAGGAACAAGCAUAUUUACGACAUACAUGGAGAAGAUGGUGUCCAAUAAAGGGAAAAGUAGCAAAGUAAAACAUGAUUAGUUUAGAGUGACAUGAAAGUAGACUAUCUUUCAACAAUAGGUGGAUUCUUAAGAUAAGGACAGGUGUACAACGCAAGAGCUAUAAUAAGGCCUAACAUGGUUGCUGGAAGAUAUAUUUGUACAAUAAUAGGCAUGCACAUGCAGCUGUAGUAAAAAGAGUUAAUAACUUAAUAUGAGAUAUUCAAUUCCAGUGCCUGAAUGAAAAUAGCUGAACAAAUUUCUGUAAUAUAGCAGCCCAAUAGUUUGUAUAAAUACGGAUGCAUGCAGGUGAUGAUAGACACUAUAUCAUGUCUGAUCCAUAAGUAAGUGUGUGUUGUGCAUUAAGUUUUCGAUUCUUUGUGAUAUGUUUUGAUUAGUUCUGUAGCAUCCAGUUUAACAUCUUAUGUCGCAGACAUUUGGUGAAGUAUCAGAAAGGAGAGUCUUUCAUUAAUUCUGCGUUACCAUGAUGGUAUGUAAGGUGAGCAAAAAUAAAAUUUGUGGCCUUAAUUCCCAACAACUCUCAAGGAAAGUAAGAUGAGUCAUAUUAAUAGAUAGUGUUGUCAGGGACCUUGAUAGUAUCUCUCAGACGAGUACCACUUUAUAUGGGAUAGGAGAUGCUUGAUCCAUGAAUAAAAUAACUUGGAGCUCCUGUUUAGAGCGUCUACUAAAUUAUUGGUUCAUCCAUCUAAAUGUUUUUACAAAAACGGGCCUUUUUUAGCCGCAAACCGUAGAACAAUAGUUCUACGGUAUAUUUUCAUUAAAAUAAUAGUAUGUUACA